rnacentral:rRNA from 1 species
AUGACUUGUGGAUAGGGGUGAAAGGCUAAUCAAGCCUGGUGAUAGCUGGUUCUCCCCGAAAGCUAUUUAGGUAGCGCCUCGGACGAAUACCAUAGGGGGUAGAGCACUGUUUCGGCUAGGGGGUCAUCCCGACUUACCAAACCGAUGCAAACUCCGAAUACCUAUGAGUACUAUCCGGGAGACAGACUGCGGGUGCUAACGUCCGUAGUCAAGAGGAAAACAAUCCAGACCGCCAGCUAAGGCCCCAAAAUCAUAGUUAAGUGGGAAACGAUGUGGGAAGGCAUAGACAGCUAGGAGGUUGGCUUAGAAGCAGCCACCCUUUAAAGAAAGCGUAAUAGCUCACUAGUCGAGUCGGCCUGCGCGGAAGAUGUAACGGGGCUAAAACUAUGUGCCGAAGCUGCGGAUUUGACAUUAGUCAAGUGGUAGGGGAGCGUUCUGUAAGCCGAUGAAGGUGUAUUGAGAAGUAUGCUGGAGGUAUCAGAAGUGCGAAUGCUGACGUGAGUAACGACAAAACGGGUGAAAAACCCGUUCGCCGAAAGACCAAGGGUUCCAGUCCAACGUUAAUCGGGGCUGGGUGAGUCGACCCCUAAGGCGAGGCCGAAAGGCGUAGUCGAUGGGAAAUUGGUUAAUAUUCCAAUACUUCUGUGUAAUGCGAUGAGAGGACGGAGAAGGUUAAGUCAGCCUGGCGUUGGUUGUCCAGGUGGAAGGAUGUAGGUAUGUAUCUUAGGCAAAUCCGGGGUACUCUAUACUGAGAUCCGAUAGCAAGCUGUACUUGUACAGUGAAGUGGCUGAUACCAUGCUUCCAGGAAAAGUCUCUAAGCUUCAGUUACACAGGAAUCGUACCCGAAACCGACACAGGUGGUCAGGUCGAGUAGACCAAGGCGCUUGAGAGAACUCUGCUGAAGGAACUAGGCAAAAUGGUACCGUAACUUCGGGAGAAGGUACGCUGUUGUUGGUGAUGGAACUUGCUUCCUGAGCUGACGACAGCCGCAGAAACCAGGCCGCUGCAACUGUUUAUUAAAAACAUAGCACUCUGCAAACACGAAAGUGGACGUAUAGGGUGUGAUGCCUGCCCGGUGCUGGAAGGUUAAUUGAUGGGGUUAGCGUAAGCGAAGCUCUUGAUCGAAGCCCCAGUAAACGGCGGCCGUAACUAUAACGGUCCUAAGGUAGCGAAAUUCCUUGUCGGGUAAGUUCCGACCUGCACGAAUGGCAUAAUGAUGGCGGCGCUGUCUCCAGCAGAGGCUCAGUGAAAUCGAAAUCGCUGUGAAGAUGCAGUGUACCCGCGGCUAGACGGAAAGACCCCGUGAACCUUUACUGCAGCUUGACACUGAACUUUGACCUUACUUGUGUAGGAUAGGUGGGAGGCUUUGAAGUUGGAACGCUAGUUCCAAUGGAGCCGUCCUUGAAAUACCACCCUGGUAAUGUUGAGGUUCUAACUCUGUCCCGUUAUCCGGGACGAGGACCGUGUCUGGUGGGUAGUUUGACUGGGGCGGUCUCCUCCUAAAGAGUAACGGAGGAGUACGAAGGUGCGCUCAGCGUGGUCGGAAAUCACGCGUAGAGUAUAAAGGCAAAAGCGCGCUUAACUGCGAGACCCACAAGUCGAGCAGGUACGAAAGUAGGUCUUAGUGAUCCGGUGGUUCUGUAUGGAAGGGCCAUCGCUCAACGGAUAAAAGGUACUCUGGGGAUAACAGGCUGAUACCGCCCAAGAGUUCAUAUCGACGGCGGUGUUUGGCACCUCGAUGUCGGCUCAUCUCAUCCUGGGGCUGAAGCAGGUCCCAAGGGUAUGGCUGUUCGCCAUUUAAAGAGGUACGCGAGCUGGGUUUAGAACGUCGUGAGACAGUUCGGUCCCUAUCUACCGUGGGCGCUGGAAAUUUGAGAGGAUCUGCUCCUAGUACGAGAGGACCAGAGUGGACGAACCUCUGGUGUACCGGUUGUGACGCCAGUCGCAUCGCCGGGUAGCUAUGUUCGGAAGGGAUAACCGCUGAAAGCAUCUAAGCGGGAAGCCUACCUCAAGAUAAGAUUUCCCUAGGAAUUUAUUCCUCUAAAGAGCCGUUCGAGACUAGGACGUUGAUAGGUUGGAUGUGGAAGCAUAGUGAUAUGUGAAGCUGACCAAUACUAAUUGCUCGUGAGGCUUGACUAUACAACACCCAAGCAGUUG